GUCUGCCAGUCAUGCAUGCGUGAAACAUUAAAAACCAUUACAUGUAACAUAUUCUUAUAACAUUAGCAACAUUGCAGAUCUACUUGAUGGACUAUGCAACAUCGUCAAUUAGUGAAACAUCUCAGGUAAGCUACUGCAACAUUGAAAAGUCUUGUACAGAUCCAGAGACCUCAUCCUUGAAGGAGCCUCUAUCCAUCACAAAGAAGCUCCCCUAGUGAGGCCGGCCCCCACCGUGGAAUCCGCUGUUGGAACAGCUAGACCUACCGUGGAAUCUAGCAGCUGGCCUCAUGGUCAAGGAGCUCAUCAACGUGGAGUAGCUCGUUAUCGCGAAGGCCACCAUCGUCUUGUGAGAACUCUUGCCGCCAUGGACGAGGUCCAGGACCUCGCGCACGACAUGGACGAGUGCCGCGCCAUCGAUGAAUUCAUGCAGGGCAGGGCGGCACCUGCACUCGCACUCGCACCCUGAAGGAGGAUGGGAUGAUUUGGUUUGUUUUUUUUAAAGAGGAAUGGGAGAUGAGGCGCACGGCUGCUAUGGUGAUAAGAACGAGAAGGGAUAGGAGCGGCGGAUGGGUGAGCUGUUAUAUAUUUUGUUUAGUAAAGUUUCAAGUCCGUGGGUCCUGGGCUCGUUACGUGGGCAGCGCGCGCGAACCAACCGAGGCUGGUCGGACGACCGAGUAGUACCAAUUCCAUAAGCAAAUUC
rnacentral:lncRNA from 1 species